CCUACGGGGGGCAGCAGUGAGGAAUAUUGGUCAAUGGACGAGAGUCUGAACCAGCCAAGUAGCGUGAAGGAUGACUGCCCUAUGGGUUGUAAACUUCUUUUAUAUGGGAAUAAAAUGUUCCACGUGUGGGAUUUUGUAUGUACCAUAUGAAUAAGGAUCGGCUAACUCCGUGCCAGCAGCCGCGGUAAUACGGAGGAUCCGAGCGUUAUCCGGAUUUAUUGGGUUUAAAGGGAGCGUAGGUGGAUUGUUAAGUCAGUUGUGAAAGUUUGCGGCUCAACCGUAAAAUUGCAGUUGAAACUGGCAGUCUUGAGUACAGUAGAGGUGGGCGGAAUUCGUGGUGUAGCGGUGAAAUGCUUAGAUAUCACGAAGAACUCCGAUUGCGAAGGCAGUUCACUGGACUGCAACUGAUACUGAGGCUCGAAAGUGUGGGUAUCAAACAGGAUUAGAUACCCCAGUAGUC
rnacentral:rRNA from 1 species